rnacentral:rRNA from 1 species
GAGUUUGAUCGUGGCUCAGGAUGAACGCUGGCGGCGUGCUUAACACAUGCAAGUCGAACGAAGCAGUUUUGAAGAAGCCUUCGGGUGGAAUUGAGAUUAACUGAGUGGCGGACGGGUGAGUAACGCGUGGGUAAUCUGCCUCAUACAGGGGGAUAACAGUUAGAAAUGACUGCUAAUACCGCAUAAGCGCACAGAGCUGCAUGGCUCGGUGUGAAAAACUCCGGUGGUAUGAGAUGAGCCCCGCGUCUGAUUAGGUAGUUGGUGAGGUAACGGCCCACCAAGCCGACGAUCAGUA